rnacentral:misc_RNA from 1 species
AACUUUUGACAAUGGAUCACUUGGCUCUCGCAUCGAUGAAGAACGCAGCGAAAUGUGAUAAGUAAUGUGAAUUGCGGAAUUCAGUGAAUCAUCGAAUCUUUGAACGCACCUUGCGCUCCCUGGCAUUCCGGGGAGCAUGUCUGUUUGAGUGUCAUGAACUCUUCAACCCAUCAGUUUCUUGUAAACUGGCUGGUGUUUGGAUUUUGAGCGUUGCUGGAUCUUCGGAUCGAAGCUCGUUCAUAAUACAUUAGCACCUCUAAUUCGAACUCGGAUUGACUCAGUGUAAUAGACUAUUCGCUGAGGACACGUGCUUGCAUGUGGCCGAAUGAGAUCUCAGUAGAGGCUUCCAACCCUUCUAGUCAACUUUAGAUUAGACCUCAAAUCAGGCAGGAUUACCCGCUGAACUUAAGCAUAUCAAUAAGCGGAGGCU